GAAGAAAGAAGAGGGAGAAAGAAGAAGGGAAAAAGGAGAAAAGAUAUGCCCCUUUCUCCUUUUUCCCUUCUUCUUUCUCCAUUUAAA
rnacentral:miRNA from 1 species